GGAGAACACACAAGUGUACUAUACAUGCUGUUUGUUUUGCAAUGAGCAAUAAAGUUUUUCAUCUCAGAUCCAGGUACCUACUAUGCUAUGCCAGUACUCAUAAGACCAGCAGCAUCCUUGAAACUUGUUAAAUUACAGGCACAUGAGCAAGAAGUUGGUUUGAAAACAGAACAUCCCACAUAUUGAAUAGGAUGCUGAAAUUGCAAGUGUCAGAUUAACAAGCUGUAAUGCAAUGCCCUAUAUCUCAGAGAUUUGAAAAGAACCAAAUUUCUAAUAUUUCUGCUUUCUCUAUAGAAAGAUGGAGUGAGAGAUCUUGGACUCAUUGGUUGCCUCCUCAAAUGACCAAAUGGUCAUGGUUAAACCAGAUUGAAAGCAAGAGCC